ACGAACGCUGGCGGCGUGCUUAACACAUGCAAGUCGAACGGAAAGGCCCUGCUUUUGUGGGGUGCUCGAGUGGCGAACGGGUGAGUAACACGUGAGUAACCUGCCCUUGACUUUGGGAUAACUUCAGGAAACUGGGGCUAAUACCGGAUAGGAGCUCCUGCUGCAUGGUGGGGGUUGGAAAGUUUCGGCGGUUGGGGAUGGACUCGCGGCUUAUCAGCUUGUUGGUGGGGUAGUGGCUUACCAAGGCUUUGACGGGUAGCCGGCCUGGGAGGGUGACCGGCCACAUUGGGACUGAGAUACGGCCCAGACUCCUACGGGCGGCAGCAGUGGGGAAUAUUGCACAAUGGGCGGAAGCCUGAUGCAGCAACGCCGCGUGCGGGAUGACGGCCUUCGGGUGGUAAACCGCUUUCGCCUGUGACGAAGCGUGAGUGACGGUAAUGGGUAAAGAAGCACCGGCUAACUACGU
rnacentral:rRNA from 1 species